rnacentral:rRNA from 1 species
AUAAAAUUUGCUUUUAAACUUCCCCAAAAAAUCAGACUUACCUUGCCUUGGGUUAACUGAUUCUUCUAGUACUCUCUUGAGUUCGCUAACAAAGCUAUCAACCCGCCCUUCCUCUGGAAGAUUAUACUCCCUCUGUUUUUAUUUACUCUGCAUAUUAGACUAAAAAUAUCCUUCGCCCUUACUGAUAGUGGUUCCUCCACCUUCUUCUGACUCGACCCUUGGCUUCUCCCUACUCCUCUCAUUGACACUUAUGCCCACAUUUUCUCUCACUCCACUCCCCCCUCUGUCCUAGUAUCUCAUGUCAUGCUUGCUGGUUUACACGCUACUUUGAAUUGCCUAACCAAUGUUGCUUUUGUCGAGCUUGCGUCUAUUUUGUCUUUGUUGCACGAUGUCACCACCAGCGACACGCCUAACGAUAGUUUCCUCACCCACGGCUCCUCUUUCUCCUCGAGGUGCACCUACUCGUUUCUCUCCUCCGACCACGAGAUCGACCUCCACACCGGGGACAUUUGGAGCCCCAAGGCUCCUAUCAAGGUUAAUAUAUUCGGCUGGCUUCUCUGCCGUGACAGGCUGAGCACGAUGGCGAAUCUACUCCACAAGUCCAUCUCUCCGGACUCUUCCUGCCCCCUGUAUGGUCUCACACUGGAGGAUGCAUCACACCUCGCCAUUCUUUGCCCAUGCGCGGCUCAGGUUUGGUCCCUCUUGGGCCUUCAGUCACCUCUCUCCAUUGACCUCGUAUAG